rnacentral:rRNA from 1 species
UACGUAGGGGGCAAGCGUUGUUCGGAAUUCUUGGGCGUAAAGAGCGUGUAGGCGGUCCGGUAAGUCAGCUGUGAAAGUCAAGGGCUCAACCCUUGAAAGCCGGUUGAUACUGUCGGGCUAGAGUCCGGAAGAGGCGAGUGGAAUUCCCGGUGUAGCGGUGAAAUGCGCAGAUAUCGGGAGGAACACCAAUGGCGAAGGCAGCUCGCUGGGACGGUACUGACGCUGAGACGCGAAAGCGUGGGGAGCAAACAGG